rnacentral:lncRNA from 1 species
CAUGCACAGGAAAAAUCUCAUGCAAGCAAUUCUUUGCCACAAAUUUUACCGGCGUAUACGUAUGUAAUGCCUGCGCACAAAGCUCUCAUAUUUGCUUCUUUUACAGUCGCAGUUACAUGGGCCAUCGACGCUCUGCACGUGAUUCCACAAGACAAUCGAGGUGCUUUGUAUCGCGCAUGUAAAGGAAAGUGUUACCUCCGCCUGAAUGGGAAACAUAGCGGUUGUCCUCACAUCUGCAAAUGUAUUACCAAGCCAAAAUUUUGCCUUGGGAACUUUGGCCACGGGUACUGUACCCCGCCAGUGACAUCUUUAAUUAGCAUA